UAAAGCGAGCGCAGGCGGUUAGAUAAGUCUGAAGUUAAAGGCUGUGGCUUAACCAUAGUACGCUUUGGAAACUGUUUAACUUGAGUGCAGAAGGGGAGAGUGGAAUUCCAUGUGUAGCGGUGAAAUGCGUAGAUAUAUGGAGGAACACCGGUGGCGAAAGCGGCUCUNUGGUCUGUAACUGACGCUGAGGCUCGAAAGCGUGGGGAGCGAACAGGAUUAGAUACCCUGGUAGUCCACGCCGUAAACGAUGAGUGCUAGGUGUUAGGCCCUUUCCGGGGCUUAGUGCCGCAGCUAACGCAUUAAGCACUCCGCCUGGGGAGUACGACCGCAAGGUUGAAACUCAAAGGAAUUGACGGGGGCCCGCACAAGCGGUGGAGCAUGUGGUUUAAUUCGAAGCAACGCGAAGAACCUUACCAGGUCUUGACAUCCCGAUGCCUGCUCUAGAGAUAGAGUUUUACUUCGGUACAUCGGUGACAGGUGGUGCAUGGUUGUCGUCAGCUCGUGUCGUGAGAUGUUGGGUUAAGUCCCGCAACGAGCGCAACCCUUAUUGUUAGUUGCCAUCAUUCAGUUGGGCACUCUAGCGAGACUGCCGGUAAUAAACCGGAGGAAGGUGGGGAUGACGUCAAAUCAUCAUGCCCCUUAUGACCUGGGCUACACACGUGCUACAAUGGCUGGUACAACGAGUCGCAAGUCGGUGACGGCAAGCUAAUCUCUUAAAGCCAGUCUCAGUUCGGAUUGUAGGCUGCAACUCGCCUACAUGAAGUCGGAAUCGCUAGUAAUCGCGGAUCAGCACGCCGCGGUGAAUACGUUCCCGGGCCUUGUACACACCGCCCGUCACACCACGAGAGUUUGUAACACCCGAAGUCGGUGAGGUANCCUUUUAGGAGCCA
rnacentral:rRNA from 1 species